rnacentral:tRNA from 1 species
UAGCUCAGUUGGUUAGAGCGCGGGACUCAUAAGCCCGAGGUCAGUGGUUCGAUCCCCU